rnacentral:rRNA from 1 species
CCCCUAGUAACGGCGAGUGAACCGGGAAGAGCUCAAAUUUGAAAUCUGGCAGUCUUCGAUUGUCCGAGUUGUAAUCUAUAGAAGCGUUUUCCGUGCUGAACUGUGUAUAAGUCCCUUGGAACAGGGUAUCAAAGAGGGUGACAAUCCCGUACUUUACACAAUCAUCAGUGCUCUGUGAUACGUUCUCUACGAGUCGAGUUGUUUGGGAAUGCAGCUCAAAAUGGGUGGUAAAUUCCAUCUAAAGCUAAAUAUUGGCGAGAGACCGAUAGCGAACAAGUACCGUGAGGGAAAGAUGAAAAGCACUUUGGAAAGAGAGUUAAACAGUACGUGAAAUUGUUGAAAGGGAAACGAAAUUCAUGAAUCAUGUUUAUUGGACUCAGCCGUUCUUCGGUGUACUUCCUUUAAACGGGUCAACAUCAGUUUUGUCCGAUGGAUAAAGGUAGUAGGAAGGUGGCUCUCUCGGGAGUGUUAUAGCCUAUUGCUGCAUACAUUGGAUGAGACUGAGGACUGCAGCUUGCCUUUAUGGCCGGGGU